ACGCUCGACACCUACGGGAUGCAGCAGUCGGGAAUAUUGCGCAAUGGAGGAAACUCUGACGCAGUGACGCCGCGUGCAGGAAGAAGGUUUUCGGAUUGUAAACUGCUUUAGACAGGGAAGAACAAAUGACAGUACCUGUAGAAUAAGCUCCGGCUAACUACGUGCCAGCAGCCGCGGUAAUCUGAGCGGGCUGGCAAGGC
rnacentral:rRNA from 1 species